rnacentral:rRNA from 1 species
AUGGCUAGUAAUUGGAGUUUCAGACAAUUUGGGGAGGUAAUUUGUAGCCAAUAUCCUUGGGGUUUGCUUGAUGAAGUGGUAUACAAAUACUAUGAUGGGGAAAAGAAUUGGGUGACAGUUAGUAAUGAUGAAGAGCUAGCUACCAUGUUUGUUAGGCAUAAAGAGAAAGAUAAUUUUCAUGUGAGGCUGCAAGUUGAUGUGCUUGAGCAGGCAUUUGGACCCAGGAUGGCGGGUGCAACAUCUCGGGGAGAAUCAAGUCGUCGUAAUGGCAUCUCUAGCCAGAACAGUUCAGUUGGUGCACGGCGACGUUGUGGCUCAACAAGUGUGGGCAACAGCAGUAGGGUCCCCCUUGAAGUGGAGCCUGAUGGCUACAAUUCUGGGGUUGAUGAAGAGAAGUUAUAUUCUGAUGUUAUUCAGAAUUUACGACGGGCACCUCGGGCUGAAAACCAAGAUGAGGCUCACAAUGCAGUCCGUGUGGAUGAUGACGCGAUGGGUGAGGAUGAAGACCUUGCAGCUGUUGAAUGGGACCCUUUGAACCCUCAAAUGGAAGAAGGUACAGUUUUUGCAUCCAUGAAUGAGUGUAGAAAUGCACUUGUGACAUACUGCAUCAAGGUAGAACAUACUUUCAAAGUUGACAAGAGCGAUCAAGUACGUUACAGAGUGCACUGUCCGACUGAGGGUUGUCCAUGGAGGCUGCUUGCAGCUAAAAUGCGGAAUAGCACUAAUGUUCAGGUCAAAGUGAAUCCUUUUAAGCACACAUGCCAGGAAUCAACCCUUAGGAAGGAUACAAUCAGUAGAGCCAAGUCAAGAUGGGUGGCAGAAGAAGUAAAAAAGUGGGUGAAAGAAAACCAGCAAGUGGGUCCAAAGGAAUUGCAGAAGAACAUCAAAGAUAAGUUCAAGAUAGAUUUACCAUACAUGAGGUUGUUCAAUGGUAAACAA